AACGAACGCUGGCGGCAUGCCUAACACAUGCAAGUCGAACGAGACCUUCGGGGCUAGUGUCGUACGGGGUCGUAACCGGUGGGAACAUGCCCUUAGGGUUGGAAUAACUCCCCGAAUGGGGUAACAAUACCGGAUAAUGUCUACGGACCAAUGAUUUAUUGCCUUUGGAUGUGCCAUCGUUGGAUUCGCUUGUUGGUAGGCUAAAAGACUACCACGGCGACGAUCCGUAGCUGGUUUGAGAGGAGGGUCAGCCACACUGGGACUGAGAGACGGCCCAGACUCUUACGGGAGGCAGCAGUGGGGGAUAUUGGACAAUGGGGGGAAGGCUGAACCAGCACUGCCGCGUGAGUGAUGAAGGCCGUAGGGUUGUAAAGCUCUUUUACCCGGGAUGAUAAUGACGGUACCGGGAGAAUAAGCUCCGGCUAACUCCGUG
rnacentral:rRNA from 1 species